rnacentral:rRNA from 1 species
AGAUUAUGUCAGGGAGACUGACCGGUCACUGAUGCAACUGGUCACCGCAUUCUGGGCAACGCUGGCACUUAUGUAUAUGUCGUUUGCGGCAGGCACCGGGAAAUAUCCGGUGCGACCCGGAAAAAUGAAAUGUAUCCGGGUGGUAACCGCAGAUGAACGUCUGAAGGACGUUUAUACGGAAGACGCUUCCCUGCCGGGAAAAAUCAGUAAAUGUCCUGUUUAUCUUCCUGAUGACAGAACAAACAGAAACAACGGAGAUAAAAAUGAACAUGCGUAAUAUUAAUGUUAUUACAGCCCGCGCUGUGCCGGAUAAAAACGUAUCAGAUGAUUUUAUGCAUGCUGUUCUCAGUAACUGCACCACAAAAAUAGUUCUUCCUGCACCGGAGAAAUUCAGUCCUGAAUCAUUGCCGCACAAUUUUAAUAUGACUGCUGUCGGCGUGAUGAAGAAGGGAAUGUCGAUGAGUUUAUUUUCUUCUCCGGGGCAUAUUGUGGUUGCCGGACAAUCCGGUGGCGGAAAAUCUGCUCCGGUGAAAGAACUAAUCGACAGAAUUAUUCAGAAAUAUAAGGAACCCUUCGAUGAAUAAGCUGGUUUCUGAUGGCAGCGUCAAAAAAUAAAUUAUCCGGU